UACAGAGGGUGCGAGCGUUGUUCGGAAUUACUGGGCGUAAAGCGCGUGUAGGCAGCCGCGCAAGUCGGAUGUGAAAGCCCUGGGCUCAACCUAGGAAGUGCAUUCGAAACUGCGAGGCUGGAGUCCUGGAGAGGAAGGCGGAAUUCUCGGUGUAGAGGUGAAAUUCGUAGAUAUCGAGAGGAACACCGGUGGCGAAGGCGGCCUUCUGGACAGUGACUGACGCUGAGACGCGAAAGCGUGGGGAGCAAACAGG
rnacentral:rRNA from 1 species